GUUGCUCUCUCUUUGUUAUCACACUCUUCUGCUUCACAAAAAGCUUUCUUCUUCUCCUCCCUCUCUCCAUUGCGCCCCUUUACAUUGCUGCUGCACACACCCGACACCCACCACCCACCACUGCACCCGCACCUCCUUCUGCUUCCAGUCGACAAUGAAGAGGCAACCCUUUAGAAGAGAGAGAGGGCAGGGUUGCAUCAAAGAGAGAAGGACUCUUAUUUUAAGGAACUUACUCAAACCUGGAGCAACAUCAACAGGAUCUGAAACUUAUGUUAAGGAGCUUAUUCUAGUUCUACUUAUUUUGUUUAGCAUUUCCGACUUUUUUUUGUUUUAGUGACAAUGAUAUUUGUUGAGAUACUUACCUUUUA